UGAUGAUGGUUAGGACAACUAAUAAUUAUAGAUUUAAACCUGUCCCAGGCUUGGUACAAAUUCUCUCCAGCUUUCUGUUUAAAAUUCAAAAUUUCAAUUCUUAGCUU